rnacentral:rRNA from 1 species
GACGAAGGGGGCUAGCGUUGUUCGGAAUUACUGGGCGUAAAGCGCGUGUAGGCGGUUGCCCAAGUCGGGUGUGAAAGCCUUGAGCUCAACUCAAGAAGUGCACUCGGUACUGGGUGACUAGAGGACCGGAGAGGAUAGUGGAAUUCCCAGUGUAGUGGUGAAAUACGUAGAGAUUGGGAAGAACACCAGUGGCGAAGGCGGCUAUCUGGACGGUUUCUGACGCUAAGACGCGAAAGCGUGGGGAGCAAACAGG